rnacentral:RNase_P_RNA from 1 species
GGAGUCGGCCAGACAGUCGCGUCACUCGCAAGAGUGCCGAGGAAAGUCCGGGCUCCAUAGGGCAAGGUGCCAGGUAACGCCUGGGCGGCGCAAGCCGACGGAAAGUGCAACAGAGAGAUACCGCCGAACGGUCUCGCAAGAGGCGCGUGGUAAGGGUGAAAUGGUGCGGUAAGAGCGCACCGCGAGUCCGGUAACGGACCGGCACGGCAAACCCCACCUGGAGCAAGACCAAAUAGGGAUCCAUUGGCGUGGCCCGCGCUGGAUCCGGGUAGGUUGCUUGAGCGCUGCGGUGACGUAGCGCCUAGACGAAUGACUGUCCACGACAGAACCCGGCUUAUCGGCCGGCUCCGCCG